AGAGUUUGAUCCUGGCUCAGGACGAACGCUGGCGGCGCGCCUAACACAUGCAAGUCGAACGAGCGAGAGAGAGCUUGCUUUCUCGAGCGAGUGGCGAACGGGUGAGUAACGCGUGAGGAACCUGCCUCAAAGAGGGGGACAACAGUUGGAAACGACUGCUAAUACCGCAUAAGCCCACGGUGCCGCAUGGCACAGAGGGAAAAGGAGCAAUCCGCUUUGAGAUGGCCUCGCGUCCGAUUAGCUAGUUGGUGAGGUAAUGGCCCACCAAGGCGACGAUCGGUAGCCGGACUGAGAGGUUGAACGGCCACAUUGGGACUGAGACACGGCCCAGACUCCUACGGGAGGCAGCAGUGGGGAAUAUUGCACAAUGGGGGAAACCCUGAUGCAGCGACGCCGCGUGGAGGAAGAAGGUCUUCGGAUUGUAAACUCCUGUUGUUGAGGAAGAUAAUGACGGUACUCAACAAGGAAGUGACGGCUAACUACGUGCCAGCAGCCGCGGUAAAACGUAGGUCACAAGCGUUGUCCGGAAUUACUGGGUGUAAAGGGAGCGCAGGCGGGAAGACAAGUUGGAAGUGAAAUCUAUGGGCUCAACCCAUAAACUGCUUUCAAAACUGUUUUUCUUGAGUAGUGCAGAGGUAGGCGGAAUUCCCGGUGUAGCGGUGGAAUGCGUAGAUAUCGGGAGGAACACCAGUGGCGAAGGCGGCCUACUGGGCACCAACUGACGCUGAGGCUCGAAAGUGUGGGUAGCAAACAGGAUUAGAUACCCUGGUAGUCCACACCGUAAACGAUGAUUACUAGGUGUUGGAGGAUUGACCCCUUCAGUGCCGCAGUUAACACAAUAAGUAAUCCACCUGGGGAGUACGACCGCAAGGUUGAAACUCAAAGGAAUUGACGGGGGCCCGCACAAGCAGUGGAGUAUGUGGUUUAAUUCGACGCAACGCGAAGAACCUUACCAAGUCUUGACAUCCUCUGACGAACGUAGAAAUACGUUUUCUCUUCGGAGCAGAGAGACAGGUGGUGCAUGGUUGUCGUCAGCUCGUGUCGUGAGAUGUUGGGUUAAGUCCCGCAACGAGCGCAACCCUUAUGGUCAGUUACUACGCAAGAGGACUCUGGCCAGACUGCCGUUGACAAAACGGAGGAAGGUGGGGAUGACGUCAAAUCAUCAUGCCCUUUAUGACUUGGGCUACACACGUACUACAAUGGCGUUAAACAAAGAGAAGCAAGACCGCGAGGUGGAGCAAAACUCAGAAACAACGUCCCAGUUCGGACUGCAGGCUGCAACUCGCCUGCACGAAGUCGGAAUUGCUAGUAAUCGCAGAUCAGCAUGCUGCGGUGAAUACGUUC
rnacentral:rRNA from 1 species